GGGUUGUGAGGUUAAGCGACUAAGCGUACACGGUGGAUGCCCUGGCAGUCAGAGGCGAUGAAGGGCGUACUAAUCUGCGAUAAGCGCCGGUAAGGUGAUAUGAACCGUUAUAACCGGCGAUACCCGAAUGGGGAAACCCAGUGUGAUUCGUCACACUAUCAUUAACUGAAUCCAUAGGUUAAUGAGGCGAACCGGGGGAACUGAAACAUCUAAGUACCCCGAGGAAAAGAAAUCAACCGAGAUUCCCCCAGUAGCGGCGAGCGAACGGGGAGGAGCCCAGAGCCUGAAUCAGCAUGUGUGUUAGUGGAAGCGUCUGGAAAGGCGCGCGAUACAGGGUGACAGCCCCGUACACAAAAGCGCAUGUGCUGUGAGCUCGAUGAGUAGGGCGGGACACGUGGUAUCCUGUCUGAAUAUGGGGGGACCAUCCUCCAAGGCUAAAUACUCCUGACUGACCGAUAGUGAACCAGUACCGUGAGGGAAAGGCGAAAAGAACCCCGGCGAGGGGAGUGAAAAAGAACCUGAAACCGUGUACGUACAAGCAGUGGGAGCCCCACCACCAAAGCAUUUGCUG
rnacentral:rRNA from 1 species